ensembl:lncRNA
AUGUACUUUUCUUUCUCUAUCAGAGUGUGGCCAAAGGUUUCAUUGGUGCUUUGUCAUCAUUGCAAGAUUUCAGAUCAGUUCUUUCAAGGCACCAAACACUGGCACGUGACCAGACUGCUCCACUGCAACUACAUACUAUGUGUACUUUCAAGACUAGGAUUUUUUGUUUUCAUUCCAGUUAAUGUAGCCACCCAGAUCCAGUCUGCAUCCAGAUCAGAUGGUGGAUCAGCACCUAGAGAUGUGUAGCGUAUCAGGCCUGAACCAGACAAAUUAAAGAUUCGAUCAUGAGCAUGGUUGAAACAAGAGAAGCCGAAUUCCUCGGAAAGGGAACAGGAUGUUGUAAAUCAACUCCUAGCACCACAGUCUGAAGCUAGAUAACCAACCAGCUCUUUCACAGAACAGCUUUCAACAUUAACACCAUUAGAACAAUUAUUGACAAUUUCAAUUCGAAGAAGAGAUUGUCAAAUUUGGGGCAAGUAAUCAAAGAGAUGCACAGCGUUACCAUCACAUGUAAACCCAUGAUAGUAAUCAUGAUCACAAGCCCUUUGGAUUGACUUCCCCGACCUCGAAUGGAAACCAGACUGAAAUUCCUAAGGAGACCUGUUAACUAGGGAUGCACCGGUUGACCGGCCAUAAAUCGGAACCGGCCGGUUUUUGAUUAAAAUACGCGAUCGGCAAUCGGCCAGUUUUUGUUCUUUUUUCGGCCGAUUUUUCCGGAAGUGCGCCCGCGUGCACAGACUACAUUGUAGUCAUUCACUAUUAUGUCAUUUGUGUGGAAGUAUUUUGAAAUCUGUGCGCAGGAUACGGGCAGCCGUUUAGCACUGCACUGUAAAACCCGACAAGUAACGUAACUCAAACCUUUUGUGUAAACAAAUAUCCUUAAAAACAUGACAAGUUGGGUUUACUCAAACCGUUUGAGGAAACCGAUUGCCUUAAACCAUUUAAGUUUUAAAACUUAACAUUUAUGAGUACUCUGAACUUAAUUCAGUUGAGUUCACUGAAAGAAGAUAUACAUUGCAAUUAAGUAAUUAAGUGAUUAACUGAGUGAUAAUUGAGCAUUAGUGAUGAACACCUGCUGUUAACAAACAGAAUUACUGAAGAAAAGAGAGAAAGGAACUACAACUGACUUCAGACACAACCUCACUAAAACCUGACAAGUUAUGUUAACUCAAACCGUUUGAGGAAACCGAUUGCCUUAAACCAUUUAAGUUUUAAAACUAAUAGUUGUGAGUACUCUGAACUUAAUUCAGUUGAGUUCACUGAAAGAAGAUAUACAUUGCAAUUAAAUAAUUAAGUGAUUAAUUGAGUGAUAAUUGUGAAUUAGUGAUGAACACCUGCUGUUAACAAACAGAAUUACUGAAGAAAAGAGAAACACAAGAACUACAACUGACUUCAGACACAGCCUUAGAUAAAAUAAACUGAAAUAAAAUACAUUAAAUCUCUCA